rnacentral:rRNA from 1 species
AAUUAGGAUUAGAUACCCUAUUAUUAGGGAGCUUAACAUUGUAAGUAUAUAAAUAUUAUGAAAGCAAAAAAUUAUGGCGGUAUCUUAAGCUUUUCAGAGGAAUUUGCUCUAUAAUGGAUAAAACACCUUAAUCUUACUUUAAUUGGUAAAAGACAGUUUGUAUACCACUAUUAAAAUAAUAAUAUACAAUUAUUAUUGAAGUAUAUUAUUUAUAUAUUUAAAUAAAAUUAAGUCAAGGUGCAGCAAAAAUUAAAGUAUGAAGUGAAUUACAGUCCUUUUUAGGUAAAAAAAAUGAAAAAGAGUUUAGGAUUUGAAAGUAAAAUUAAAAUAGAAAGUUAAUUUGAAUUAAGCUCUAGGAUAUGUACAUAUCGCCCGUCACUCUUUAUUAAGAUAAGUCGUUACAUAG